rnacentral:rRNA from 1 species
GACAGAGGUCCCGAGCGUUAGGCGGAAUCACUGGGCUUAAAGCGUGUGUAGGCGGCGGCCUAAGUACCCUGUGAAAUCCCACGGCUCACCCGUGGAACUGCUCGGUAUACUGGGUCGCUUGAGCCACUUAGGGGCUACCGGAACAAAUGGUGGAGCGGUGAAAUGCGUAGAUAUCAGGAGGAACACCGAUGGCGAAGGCAGGUCUCUGGGCAUUAACUGACGCUGAGGAGCGAAAGCAUGGGGAGCGAACAGG